CACCUUAAUUAUUGGUGAAAAAUUAUAUUAGGAAUGUGAAAUUGGAAAGUUGCAAAGACUACAUUUAUUAGAACUUUUUUGUUUUCACUGGAUUUUUCAUGUAAUUCAUACCAGUUUUAGUAAUGCCUAAUGGAGGAAGUCAGUGCUGUUUUGAUAGCACAGCCUUCUAAAUGCUCAACUGAGGAAAGCAUACAAAGUUACGUAUUUGCAUCAAGAUAGUAAAUGACUAAGAACUAAGUGCUGGAAAGUCACAUUCCUUGACAGCAUACUAAGAAGGGCUACAAGUUAAUGUUUUCAGAGAUAUAUAAGGAACUAAAAUGCUGUGAGACAGACCGGUUGGAUUCUUCCCCCCAGUUUUUUGUAUUUGAAACGGAUCAUUCUGAAUUGUGGUGUGCUUUCAAUUCAGUGGUUUGACUAACAGUAUGUUUGAUUUUGCAAAAACAACAGGUCGAGCAUAGAGCAAAUAGCAUUGUGGUAUCCUGUAAGAUAAAACACCAUCUGGUUAAGGAAGCGGAUCUGUCCUUCCCUUCGAAAGGUGCAACAGAGUCGGACCUCCGGGUAAUCCGGGAAAAGUGUGACGACAAGGAGCGAGAAGACAUAAACGACAAGUGGUCCUCUGCCAGGGCGCUCUCUAGGACAAAGCAUAUGGACUGCUUGAGCUUCCUCUGGAAUUCAUCACACAUGAAAACAUAGAGAAUGGGGUUCAGGCAGCUGUUCAUAAAAGCCAGACACAAUGUCAGAGUACCUCCGAUUCUAAUAUUCUCCGACAUAACGCUUAGGUGUAUGAACUGCACAACAUGGAAGGGCAGCCAGCAGAUGAAGAAUGCAAAAAUGAUAGAGAAAACUAUUCGGCGAGGUCUCUUUUUGCUGGUCCUCUGCAGGCGACCUGCACGAACACUUAUGGCCACAUAACAUACAGAUAUUACCAGGAAUGGAAUGAGGAAGCCCACAACAAAGCGAAAAAUGGCUUGGAAAUGGUUGUUACCUGACAGGAGGAAACUCCAGAAGCACCAGCACAGAUCAUGGCAUCAGAGAUUCUGUUACUACCCCAGUACUGCUUGCACUGAGCAGGGCUGAGCAGAGGCAGCGCAGUCUGCUGGAGGUAGCGGGGGGUUGCUGAGAAUGAAGAAGAAAUGGAUGUGAGGUCCAGCUGGACAAAUGUUUCUUAGGGAAGUAUGGUGGAUAUUUAGCAUUGCCUUUAUAUUUUUCCUUUGUGGAAAUGGAACUGUUCAUAUCUGUGUGAGUUUAUCACUGUUUGUAAAUGUACCCUGCAUGUAAGACUUUGAAAGCAGUCGCUCACUCACAGGUUUGGCCCGUCUUGCCCCACCCAGUGGUGACACACAUGGAGCCAGAGGGGGGGGUGGUGUUGGAGUUGGCCAGGCACACAGGGGACACACGGGGAUUCAUCUGAACUGGGGAUGACAGCUUCAGAAGCGUGAUGUCAUUGUUGAAGUUUUGGGCGUUGUAGUAGGGGAUAACACGGUGGUUUCCAGCACUGGAGAGAAUAAAAACAGACAGGAGAGUGGUCACAGACAUAGCAAUAUGUACAUUUUUCUUGUGGAUUUGGAACUGAUCAGAAUUGCUUACGACACACGGCAGUGAGCAGCAGUGACAACCCAGUACUGGCUGAUCAGGGAUCCUCCACAGAAGUGGAAUCCCCUACCAUCCUAGGAGUGAGAAGAUUCCAACCUUCCAAAGUGACUUAAAGGAAAGCAGGAAACCAAAGAGGAGUUGACUGAUACCAGAAGAGAGUUCCAGCUCUCAUGUGAGACAGCCCAACACACUCCCUCCUACAAAACACUCCCACCAGAGAGAGAGACCAGGCUUGCUCCCCUUUGCCAGCCUCAGGAGGAGGGUCUCCACGACCACUCCCACAACUGAUCCCACAGGAUCAUAUGACAGAGCGACAGGUGAUUAAGUAACACAGCAGGCACCUGCUACUUUAAGACUAGCAGAAUUAGUAGCCUUAGAAGGACAUCAACCUGAUCACAGAUGUUGUGUUUUGCCACCUGCUCUGCUCUGCUUGACUCCUUCCACCUCACCAGCAUCAUCAGCACCUGACAGCCGAACUUUGAAUGGCUAAGGACUGCAGUCUCCAGACUCAAAGCAUUUAAUUAAGUUUAAUUAAAUCUUUAGUUACCUGAUUA